GAUGAACGCUGGCGGCGUGCCUAAUACAUGCAAGUCGAGCGAACGGACGAGAAGCUUGCUUCUCUGAUGUUAGCGGCGGAAGGGUGAGUAACACGUGGAUAACCUACCUAUAAGACUGGGAUAACUUCGGGAAAUCGGAGCUAAUACCGGAUGAUAUUUUGAACCGCAUGGUUCAAAAGUGAAGGACGGUCUUGCUGUCACUUAUGGAUGGAUCCGCGCUGCCUUAGCUAGUUGGUAAGGUAACGGCUUACCAAGGCAACGAUGCAUAGCCGACCUGAGAGGGUGACCGGCCACACUGGAACUGAGACACGGUCCAGACUCCUACGGGAGGCAGCAGUAGGGAAUCUUCCGCAAUGGGCGAAAGCCUGACGGAGCAACGCCGCGUGAGUUAUGAAGGUAUUCGGAUCGUAAAACACUGUUAUUAGGGAAGAACAUAUGUGUAAGUAACUGUGCACAUCUUGACGGUACCUAAUCAGAAAGCAACGGCUAACUACGUG
rnacentral:rRNA from 1 species